GACAGAGGGUGCAAACGUUGUUCGGAAUUACUGGGCGUAAAGCGCGUGUAGGCGGCUCGGCAAGUCGGGUGUGAAAGCCCUGGGCUUAACCUAGGAAGUGCACUCGAAACUGCCAAGCUUGAGUUCUGGAGAGGAAGGCGGAAUUCUCGGUGUAGAGGUGAAAUUCGUAGAUAUCGAGAGGAACACCGGUGGCGAAGGCGGCCUUCUGGACAGCAACUGACGCUGAGACGCGAAAGCCAGGGGAGCAAACGGG
rnacentral:rRNA from 1 species